rnacentral:rRNA from 1 species
CGAACGGGUGAGUAACACGUGGGUACCUGCCCAUCAGGAGGGGAUAACAUUCGGAAACGGAUGCUAAAACCGCAUAGGUCCUUUAACCGCAUGGUUGAAGGAGGAAAAGAGGCGCAAGCUUCUGCUGAUGGAUGGACCCGCGGUGCAUUAGCUAGUUGGUGAGGUAACGGCCCACCAAGGCGACGAUCGGUAGCCGGACUGGGAGGUUGAACGGCCACAUUGGGACUGAGACACGGCCCAG